GGGCCGUUAGCUUAGCUGGUAGAGCGCCGCGUUUGCAACGCGGAGGUCGCCGGUUCGAAUCCGGCACGGUCCACCA
rnacentral:tRNA from 1 species